GACGAACGCUGGCGGCGUGCUUAACACAUGCAAGUCGAACGGACAGACCCUGCUCUUGUGGGGUGCUCGAGUGGCGAACGGGUGAGUAACACGCGAGUAACCUGCCCUUGACAUUGGGAUAACUUCAGGAAACACGGGCUAAUACCGGAUAGAAGCUCCUGCUGCAUGGUGGGGGUUGGUAAGUUUCGGCGGUUGUGGCUCGUAUCGCGGCUUAUCCGCUUGUUGGUGAGGUAGUGGCUUACAAAGCCUUUGACGGGUAGGCCGCCUGAGAGGGUGACCGGGGACCUGGGGCCUGCGAUACGGACCAGACGGGUACGGGACGCAGUAGGGGAGAGUAUGACAGAGUGGCGGGGAGCCUGAUGUAGAAAUGCUGCGUGCGUAAUGCUGUGUUAUUAGUGAAAAACAGAUGUGUCCGUUACCAUACAGUGCUUGACGGUAAUGGGUAAGGAAGCACCGGCUAACUACGUG
rnacentral:rRNA from 1 species